rnacentral:rRNA from 2 species
AGGUGCGAUCAUACCGGCACUAAUGCACCGGAUCCCAUCAGAACUCUGCAGUUAAGCGUGCUUGGGCAAGAGUAGAACUAGGGAUUGGUGACCUCCUGGAAGCCUCGUGUUGCACAUC